GAUUCGGCGAAAUAUUACCCGAAGUGAUGAUAUUUCCCGAGGGGCUUUGCCCCGAGGGAAAUAUCAUCACUGGGGGUAAUAUUUCGCCGAAU
rnacentral:miRNA from 1 species